GGUGCUCUGCUCACACCGCGAGCGUACCGUACUAAGACGACAACUGGUUGGGCACAGAGUGGGGUCCGACAGCUAAAACACGCUGCUUGACCAUACGAUUAACUGCCUACUAAUUCUUCGAAUGAAUUCACGAGUACCCAUGAGAGAUGCUUCGGAUGCAAUAAAGGUUCAACUCGCGACGACUGACGCGAUAGUCUAUAUCUUGAAUUGGUAUUCGAUCGCGAUGAGGAUGAGCUUGCGUAAUGGAAGCUUUUAAAACUCGAGACUCGAUUCGAUGACGAUUACAUUAAGUAAAUAAUCAUAAGUGCUGAUAGGAAUUUAGUAGGUACGACUGCGUUGUCGAUUAAGUACAUCUACCAACUCGAUGAUAAGAGUGGGACUGUUCGAUAUGUAAAGAAAUACUCUAAUAAAUUGAUUAAAUUCA